UUUAGCUCACCUGGCCCGAAGGGCCAAGUGAGCUUUUCUCAUCACUUGGCGUCUGUCGUCCGUCGUCGUCGUCGUCCGUCGUCGUUAACUUUUACAAAAAUCUUCUCCUCUGAAACUACUGGGCCAAAUUAAACCAAACUUGGCCACAAUCAUCAUUGGGGUAUCUAGUUUAAAAAAUGUGUGGUGUGACCUGCUAAACCAACCAAGAUGGCCGCCAUGGCUAAAAAUAGAACAUAGGGGUAAAAUGCAGAUUUUGGCUUAUAACUCAAAAACCAAAGCAUUUAGAGCAAAUCUGACAGGGAGUAAAAUUGUUUAUCAGGUCAAGAUCUAUCUGCCCUGAAAUUUUCAGAUGAAUCGGACAACCCGUUGUUGGGUUGCUGCCCCUGAAUUGGUAAUUUUAGGGAAAUUUUGCUGUUUUUGGUUAUUAUCUUGAAUAUUAUUAUAGAUAGAGAUAAACUGUAAACAGCAAUAAUGUUCAGCAAAGUAAGAUCUACAAAUAAGUCAACAUAACCAAAAUGGUCAGUUGACCCCUUUAGGAGUUAUUGCCCUUUAUAGUCAAUUUUUAACCACUUUUGGUAAAUCUUAGUAAUCUUUUACAAAAAUCUUCUCCUCUGAAACUACCAAGCCAAAUUAAAACAAACUUGGCCACAAUCAUCAUUGGGGUAUCUAGUUUAAAAAAUGUGUGGCGUGACCCAGCCAAUCAACCAAGAUGGCCGCCAUGGCUAAAAAUAGAACAUAGGGGUAAAAUGCAGUUUUUGGCUUAUAACUCAAAAACCAAAGCAUUUAGAGCAAAUCUGACAGGGAGUAAAAUUGUUUAUCAGGUCAAGAUCUAUCUGCCCUGAAAUUUUCAGAUGAAUUGGACAACACGUUGUUGGGUUGCUGCCCCUGAAUUGGUAAUUUUAGGGAAAUUUUGCUGUUUUUCGUUAUUAUCUUGAAUAUUAUUAUAGAUAGAGAUAAACUGUAAACAGAAAUAAUGUUCAUCAAAGUAAGAUCUACAAAUAAGUCAAAUGAUCAAAAUGGUCAGUUGACCCCUUUAUGAGUUAUUGCUCUUUACAGUCAAUUUUUAACCAUUUUACGUAAAUCUUAGUAAUCUUUUACAAAAAUCUUCUCCUCUAAAACUACCAGGAUAAAUUAAAACAAACUUGGCCGUAAUCAUUAUUGGGGUACCUAGUUUAAAAAAUGUGUGGCAUGACCUGGCCAACCAACCAACAUGGCCGCCAUGGCUAAAAAUAGAACAUAGGGGUAAAAUGCAGUUUUUGGCUAAAACUCAAAAACCAAAGCAUUGAGAGCAAAUCUGACAGGGAGUAAAAUUGUUUAUCAGGUCAAGAUCAAUCUGCCAUGAAAUUUGCAGAUGGAUCGGACAACCUGCUGUUAGGUUGCUGCCCCUGAAUUAGUAAUUUUAAGGAAAUUUUGCCGUUUUUUUUUAUUAUCUUGAAUAUUAUUAUAGAUAGAGAUAAACUUUAAACAGCAACAAUGUACAGCAAAGUAAGACCCAAAAAUAAGUUAACAUGACCAAAAUGGUCAAUUGACCCCUUAAGGAGUUAUUGUCCUUUAUAGUGCAUUUUUAACAAUUUUCAUAAAAUUUGUAAAUUUUAACUAACAUUUUCGACUAAAACUUUUAGGCCAAGUUCAAUAUAGAUAGAAAUAAUUGUAAGCAGCAAGAAUGUUCAGUAAAGUAAGAUGUACAAACACAUCACCAUCACCAAAACACAAUUUUGUCAUGAAUUCAAAUGCAUCCUUUGUUUAAUAUUCACAUAGACCAAGGUGAGCGACACAGGCUCUUUGGAGCCUCUAGUUU
rnacentral:lncRNA from 1 species